CCUUAAAAUAUGUAAAGUUAAAUAGAUCUGUUGUUAAGAAACUUUAAUCUAGAUGUCUUUUGGUUAUUUGUGUUGUUUUCUUGUUAUUUUGCUGUCUCAUUGACUAAUACUCCAUUUAUUCACAUUGGCCUACUUCGAUUGGUCCAAAUCGGGUAACCCAAGUUACUCGCGUUGCAAUCGAAGUAACUAAGUUUUAUCAUUUUACAACCCUCGAGUUAACUCGAUAUCAACCCUGGCCCUGACCAGGUUUAAUCAAGUCAUGUUAAACGUCAAGAUAGCGAUGAAAGAGACGAGUGCUUUUCGAAAAAUAGUUUUUUACGAUUUAAAUGGAUUUAAGCCAUUUUAUGUGACGAAAUAGAAGUUUUAGUGUUCAAUUGCAAUAGUCACAUUAAAACACCACAAUAUAUAUCUAUUGUAUUAUAUCAAUGUCCAUCAAUUGUAAAUAUUCGCUUAUAUAUACACAUGUGUACUUUCGUUAUACUUUUCAGAAAAGGGGCAAGGUGACGUUUGACUGUUCUUGUGUUCUGGGCGUUUUUUUAUUCAUUGUUAUCGGCUAUUGUGAAUAUUCAUAUUUUUUUAGCUGUUAACUGUUAUUGUCAAAAUCAGUUCAGUGUUCUGCUCUUAUUGGGACCCUAUGCGGCUUUGCCCCCUUUCCGUAAUAUAUCCUAUUUGAUCAGCCUACACUCACCCUUGUUUAGGGUGGUUAUAAGCUUAAGGGGUCUGAUCCUGGGAUCCCAGGAGGUCUGAAUAGCCAGUCAAGGUCGUUAAACACUUCCAUAUAUAUAUAUCCCAGGGGGAAAAUAUUGAAUCCCGAGAUACAAAAUAAAUGAAAACUGCUGAGGUAAAAAAAAGAAAAGGUCCCUGGGCACCAAAGUUGUCAAUUAUUUUAUUAAGAUUUGGUUAGAAUCAAUAAUAUACUGACAUGACUGAAUUGCCACCUUUUAUUCAUCCUCACUAAAACUAUGGUUUAGUAUCGUAAAUUCAUCCAUGUUGUUAAGGUUAACAAUGGACAUCGAGUAACUCUCCACCAAAGUUUUUGAUUCGAUUGAUUCGCUCUUGACGCAUGCGCAAUCAAACCUAAAAAUUUAACUUGAGUAACCUGAGUUGGAUGAAUCGAAGUAGGCCAUUGUGUUUUUUUGUAAUAUUGUAAAUUCAGAAAUUGAAUGUUUUUAUUUGCCAGGACAUGUAUUGCGCUAAACAGAAAAAAUAAUUUCUGAUUGCUUGAUAUAUAUCAUACAUGUAUAUAUGUAGCAUUUUCUGAAAUCACAAAAUAUAGAAAACAGUUUUGUUCAUGAAUCAAGAAUCUCAAUAGUUUAUGUAUGCAACAAUUUCUGACUUACAGUAUUAUUAUAUUGGUAACCUUUUGUUAUAUGUAUUUGAACUUAUUAUUUUGUAUUUAAGGAAAAAUAUUUGGUUUGUUAAGCUAGAAAAUAGUUAACUAGAUUUUAUUAUUUUUUCUUUGAAAUAUUUUUUGUUUUUUGUAUUAUAGCUGAUUAAUUUAAUCAAAUUAAAUAUGCUUUUGAGGUGCCAUCUUUAUUCACUGUCAUUUACACUAUAUACAUGUAUGUAUUCAUUUAAUAACCCUUGAACCUCAAUUAUCUUUCUAAAGUAUCACCAAGAAGGAUCUAAAUUAUUUUUUAAGGCUAUCCCAUCAAAAUGUAUGUGAGAGAGUAGGAAUUCAAAAUAUCCCUACAACAAGAAGCAUUUUUUUUUAUUAUUUUGCAUACCGGUAAUGGUUAUACAGGCAAACUGAAAAAGACCCAUGUCUAACAUUCAAUAAUAAAACUUCCCUCACCAUCCUCCCACUUACAUUUUAAUGGAAUAGCCCAAACACAUUUUGGUGUUGAUGGAUGGGACUAGUAAAUGUAACAAACUGUUUAAAUUCUAAAUUAUCUUGUGUGCAACUAAGGAUAACCAACAUUUUUAAUUCCAAAAUUUAACUGAUAUGUGAUGUCUUCCAAAUUAAAUGAAAUAGUCACAUUUCUUUCCUGGAAAUUCUCUUUUUUUGGUUAAAUUUCAGAGUGUACAGUAAUCCUUAAAACCGUGUACUGUUAGGUGUAGGUAAUUCUGAUUAAAAACAAUUUUGUUCUAUUAAAAUAACAUGUGUAUGAACAGUUUCCAGUGAACAUCUCUUUUCUGCUGUUUUGGAUAUUCUCUGUGUUUACAAGAACUGAUGCACACAACAUUUUUAUCUAAUUGAAUCUAGUGUAUUGAAUGUUUCAUUAGUCCUCAAAGCCAUGUUUAUGUUUUUUCAUCAGUAUUACAUUAUUUUAAUAUAAUUUUCAUUUCAUAAUUUGCCAUUUCAGAAUCUAAUGAAUUCUGGGUAGUUUAUUUCAAAUUGAUAUAUAUGAAUGAUGUCAUUGGUUAACUACAUCCUAAAUAAUUAGAUAUUGGUAAAAUAAAAUAUUUUUAUUUUCAUUUUCCUGAAAUGACAUUAAAAUUGCCUACAAACUGAAGAUUCUGAGUUGGAAAAUUG
rnacentral:lncRNA from 1 species